rnacentral:rRNA from 2 species
AAAACGACUCUCGGCAACGGAUAUCUCGGCUCUCGCAUCGAUGAAGAACGUAGCGAAAUGCGAUACUUGGUGUGAAUUGCAGAAUCCCGUGAACCAUCGAGUCUUUGAACGCAAGUUGCGCCCGAAGCCAUCAGGCCGAGGGCACGCCUGCCUGGGCGUCACA